UGGUGCUGGUUGUCUACUGCAAGGACAAGGAAGAGUCAGUGCCUGGAGGAGCUGCCUACGAGAAACAUCAAGGAAGUACAAAACUCUGGCAAUGUGGAGCCCUUGCCAUGUAGUGACAAUAGAACUCUCACACUGUAAUGACAACAGUUGAGAGUACUGGACGCUGUCACUCAGUUUCUUAUACUCAAAUGUGUAAGCAACACAAAGGGAUUGCAAGCCUGAAUAGCCAAAUGUUUUCCAGGUCCAUGCUAGCACUGUAUUGCUGUCUGUGAUAAUCUCAUCCCAGUUUCCAGGUGAGAUUGUGAAGGGAGGCAGAUGUUCAUCUCCUGUGGGAAGGUCUGGAUGGUGAUGCUCUGCUGGUCUUGCACAGCCUCCAUCCCCUGGAAAAAGCUGCUUCUCCCAUUGCAUCUUGCCUGUUUGUUUUAUGCUCUUGUGAGAAAGGACUGAUGCAGAUGUAUGAGAUUCUGCUGCCAUUCACUGCAAUGACAUCAGCUUGUGCCAUUAAAACACCCACUCUGCGAUGUCAUAAGAGGUAUUUUUUUCUUGCUUUACACUCUGUAGUCAACAGGAUUCAGCCUCCUGUUUGCAAAAGAAAGUCCAGUUUAAUUCAAAGUACACUUAGCAGAGCUGAUAUGAAAGAC